rnacentral:rRNA from 1 species
CAGCAGCCACGGUAAUACGUAGGGUGCGAGCGUUAAUCGGAAUUACUGGGCGUAAAGCGUGCGCAGGCGGUUAUAUAAGACAGAUGUGAAAUCCCCGGGCUCAACCUGGGACCUGCAUUUGUGACUGUAUAGCUAGAGUACGGUAGAGGGGGAUGGAAUUCCGCGUGUAGCAGUGAAAUGCGUAGAUAUGCGGAGGAACACCGAUGGCGAAGGCAAUCCCCUGGACCUGUACUGACGCUCAUGCACGAAAGCGUGGGGAGCAAACAGGAUUAGAUACCCCCGUAGUCCCUGUCUCUUAUAC